rnacentral:rRNA from 1 species
UGAACGCUGGCGGCGUGCUUAACACAUGCAAGUCGUACGAGAAAGCUUCUGCUUGCAGAGGCGAGUAAAGUGGCGCACGGGUGAGUAACACGUGGGUAAUCUACCUCCGAAUUGGGGAUAACAUUGCGAAAGCGAUGCUAAUACCGGAUAAUAUCGCUGAAUUUUCGGAUUUUGCGAUCAAAGGUGGCCUCUCCAUGGAAGCUUCUGUUCGGAGAUGAGCCCGCGUCCCAUUAGCUUGUUGGUAGGGUAAUGGCCUACCAAGGCUACGAUGGGUAGCUGGUCUGAGAGGAUGAUCAGCCACACUGGAACUGACACACGGUCCAGACUCCUACGGGAGGCAGCAGUGAGGAAUUUUGCGCAAUGGGGGAAACCCUGACGCAGCAACGCCGCGUGAGUGAUGAAGGCUUUCGGGUCGUAAAGCUCUGUCAAGUGAGAAGAAAUCAUAAGAUGUUAAUAUCAUUUUAUGUUGACGGUAUCACUGAAGGAAGCACCGGCUAACUCC